AAAAAAGGUAGGUGAGCUAUCCCCGAGAUGUGAUGAGGGUCUACGGCUUCGGCCACGGACGAACUCGUCAAUGCCAAGCUUCCGAGAAAAGCCGCGGGUGGAGCUGUUGUGGUAUCCGUACCGGAAACCGACACAGGUGGGUGGGUGGAGAACACCAAGGCGCUUGAGAGAACUCUGGUCAAGGAACUCUGCAUAUUGCCACCGUAACUUCGGGAUAAGGUGGGCCUGCUUUCGUGAAGCGUCUUGCACGUGGAGCGAAAACGGGUCGCAGCAAAGCGGGGGUAGCGACUGUUUACCAAAAACACAGGCUUCUGCUAAGUCGAAAGACGACGUAUAGGAGCUGACUCCUGCCCGGUGCCGGAAGGUUAAGGGGACUGCUCAGCGCAAGCGAAGGCAUGAACCGAAGCCCCGGUAAACGGCGGCCGUAACAAUAACGGUCCUAAGGUAGCGAAAUUCCUUGGCGGGUAAGUUCCGUCCUGCACGAAUGGAGUAACGACUUCCCCACUGUCUCGACCAGAGACUCAGCGAAAUUGAACUCGCGGUGAAGGUACCGCGUUCCCGCGGAGGGACGGAAAGACCCCAUGAACCUUCACUGCAACUUGGCCCUGACACUCGGGAUUUAUUGCGUAGGAUAGGUGGGAGGCUUUGAACUUGGGUUUCUGGAUCCGAGGGAGCCAACCUUGAAAUACCACCCUGUAAAUUCUGGGUGUCUAACCUAGACCCGUUAUCCGGGUCAGGAACACGGUCUGGUGGGCACUUUGACUGGGGCGGUCGCCUCCCAAAAAGUAACGGAGGCGCGCGAAGGUCCCCUCAGCCUGAUUGGAAACCAGGCGUAGAGUGCAAUGGCAUAAGGGGGCUUGACUGCGAGACCGACAGGUCGAGCAGGUACGAAAGUAGGUCAUAGUGAUCCGGUGGUUCUGCAUGGAAGGGCCAUCGUUCAACGGAUAAAAGGUACUCUGGGGAUAACAGGCUUAUCUCCCCCAAGAGUUCACAUCGACGGGGAGGUUUGGCACCUUGAUGUCGGCUCAUCGCAUCCUUGGGCUGAAGUCGGUCCCAAGGGUUCGGCUGUUCGCCGAUUAAAGCGGUACGCGAGCUGGGUUCAGAACGUCGUGAGACAGUUCGGUCCCUAUCCUCCGUGGGCGCAGGAGACUUGAAGAGGAGCUUUUCUUAGUACGAGAGGACCGGAAAGGACGCACCUCUGGUGAUCCAGUUGUUCUGCCUAGAGCAUUGCUGGGUAGCUAAGUGCGGACGGGAUAACCGCUGAAAGCAUCUAAGCGGGAAGCCUCCCUCAAGAUAAGGUCUCCCGGGAGAAAUCCCCUAAAGGGCAGUCAAAGACCAUGACGUUGAUAGGCUGGGUGUGUAAAGGCUGUAAGGCCAAAGCUAACCAGUACUAAUCGCCCGUGCGGCUUGAUCG
rnacentral:rRNA from 1 species